UCAGGGGGUCUUCUUCCCAGGACCCUCUGUACCUGGGAGUCCCAGCGCGGGAAAGAGUCACGCCUCCUGAGCUCCUAGGCCCAGAAAGCCUGCCAAACAGCCGUUGUCCCCAAGAGAGUGUCCCUACCAAUCUCAGGGAUCUCCCAAAAGGGUAACUGUCUCCGUUCAUGGGAUCCCUGGGUGAAACCAGGCAAGAGAAGCG